rnacentral:rRNA from 1 species
UACGGAGGGGACUAGCGUUGUUCGGAAUUACUGGGCGUAAAGCGCGCGAGGCGGGCUGGUCAGUUGGGGGUGAAAUCCCGAGGCUUAACCUCGGAACUGCCUUCAAUACUGCCAGUCUUGAGUUCGGAAGAGGUGAGUGGAAUUCCUAGGUGUAGAGGUGAAAUUCAUAGGAUAAUUUAGGAAGAACACCAGUGGCGAAAGGCGGCUCACUGGUCCGAUACUGACGCUGAGGUGCGAAGCGUGGGGAGCGAACAGGAUUAGAUACCCUGUAGUCC